UGCACGCAUGACUGUUAGUCACUUUGGAUAAAAGUGUCUGCUAAAUGGCAUACU
rfam:Salmo salar isolate Sally breed double haploid chromosome ssa06, whole genome shotgun sequence.